rnacentral:rRNA from 1 species
UACAGAGGUCCCGAGCGUUGUUCGGAUUCAUUGGGCGUAAAGGGUGCGUAGGCGGUUUCCUAAGUUUGUUGUGAAAUCCCGGGGCUUAACCCUGGAAUUGCAUUGAAUACUGGGAGACUAGAGUACUGGAGAGGAAACUGGAAUUUACGGUGUAGCAGUGAAAUGCGUAGAGAUCGUAAGGAAGACCAGUGGCGAAGUCGAGUUUCUGGACAGUUACUGACGCUGAGGCACGAAGGCCAGGGGAGCAAACGGG